AAGCCUAAUGGCCAUAGUAGGAGGGGUAAUCUAUCUGGGGAAGUUGGUGGUUCUUCUUCCUCCUUGCCCUCAGGUGCACAGACUGGGGAGUGGAUAGAUAAUGACUAUGGAGACAGCUU
rfam:Pothos latent virus genes for replicase, capsid protein and movement protein